rnacentral:rRNA from 1 species
UGUCUUUUUGAGAAUAAUAUAAGGUCUAAUCUGCCCACUGAUUUAGAUUGAAGGGCUGCAGUAUAUUGACUGUACAAAGGUAGCAUAAUCAUUAGUCAUUUAAUUGAUGACUUGUAUGAAGGAUUGGAUGAAAUAUAAACUGUCUCUUUAUUAAUAAUAGAAUUUAAUUUUUUAAUUAAAAAGUUAAAAUAUUUUAAAAAGACGAGAAGACCCUAUAGAGUUUUAUAAAUAAAAUAAUUAAGAUUAUUUAAUUAAAUAAAAUUAAGAUUAUAUUAUUUAUUUUGUUGGGGUGACAGAAAAAUAUAUUUAACUUUUUUUUUUAUUUAAAACAUUUAUAAGUGGUUAAAUGAUCCAAUAUUAUUGAUUAUAAGAAAAAAUUACCUUAGGGAUAACAGCGUAAUUUUUUUUUUUAGUUCAAAUAAGAAAAAGAGUUUGCGACCUCGAUGUUGGAUUAAGAUAAAAUUUAAAUGCAGAAG